rnacentral:lncRNA from 1 species
GCAGUCGUGCAAAAAGAUCAAAGUUCCGGAUAGAAGUCAUUUGAAUACAAAAAGUAUCUGAUAUUCAAAUUCAAAUGGUUUGUAGAGCUUCCGUGGAAAAUUUUUUAUAUGAAAUCGUGCAUGUGAAAUAAAAAUACAUGUAAGUAUUUUUAAGGACUUGAGAUUCUUGUUAUAAAUUUAAAUAAACGAGUUUUUUUAAAGAAAAGUCAAGAAGUAGGAAAUCAAUUACCUAUUUGAAUGUUAUAAGGACCUUACCAAUGAUUUGAUCGAAAAUUUCAAAUUUUUGCUUCCAUGAGCGCCCACAACAAUUUUUUUAGGGGGGGGGUUGCCGUUGAAAAGUAAUAAUACUUCACAAAAGUUGCCCAAUCAACUGUCAAGUAUUUUGGUAAAAUCUGGUCGAAAUUGGAAAAUAUCUUCUGCCUCCCCAAGACAAUUAAAAACUUGGAAAAAACUCCCCGAAAUAUUAAGUUUAUUCAAGUAUAUGCUCCAACAGGAGAAAGAUCAGAACGAGAAAUACGAGUAUGCUUCCAAGUAAUCGCACAGCUAAUGAAGAUAAAGAAAAAUCAUGUAAACAUUCACUCAACGAAAAAGAUAUGUUGUUAUGUAUUCAACGCGAUAUGGAUGGACAAAAAACAAUGACGGCAUAAGGAUAAAAAGAACAAAUAAGGAAGUAAUGAAGCCUCUACAACCAACCACGCAUAAAUAUUUACAAAAA